UACGUAGGGUGCGAGCGUUGUCCGGAAUUAUUGGGCGUAAAGCGUGCGCAGGCGGUUUUGUAAGUCUGUCGUGAAAGCCCCGGGCUCAACCUGGGAAUUGCGAUGGAGACUGCAAGGCUUGAAUCUGGCAGAGGGGGGUAGAAUUCCACGUGUAGCAGUGAAAUGCGUAGAGAUGUGGAGGAACACCGAUGGCGAAGGCAGCCCCCCUGGGUCAAGAUUGACGCUCGAUGCACGAAAGCGUGGGGAGCAAACAGG
rnacentral:rRNA from 1 species